GAGACACGAGCGGCACAGCGGCGCAGCUCCCGUCACUGUCAGGGCUUUCAUGUCCGCUUGUGUUGUUCUUGUGGCGUCCCUUGGGUGGCGCUCACAUUCGAAGGGCACCUAAACUGAGCCCCCCGUGAGCUUCUCUUCAGUAUCCUGAUGAAUUAAUGGGUGGCUGUGCACAGGUUAUGGGCCUCUUGGUGGCACUAAAGUGUGAUGAUCACGACAUGGCUGGCAGGACGUCCAUGCAGGGUGGCUGUCCCUCCUGAGUGCCUGCUGUGCGGCUUCUUCAGUUAUUGUCGUGUAACUUUCUUUUUUUUUUAAGAUAAAUGAUAACAGCCGCCAAUCAGAUGACUCCCUGAAACAGGAAAACCGUGACGAGGUCGCCGGUCUGUCGUUUCCUUUCGGCCACCCGUCACACGAGGGUCGCGCUGUCGCCUGCAGCAGUCAUGUCUCUGGUGCUGCGCUUCGCUCUCCUGUCUGCUUUUCUCGGCGGAGGACUGGCUUUAACGAUAACCCAAGAAGCCAUCUCAGUAACCAAAGGUGUGACGAAAACUGCUCGGUUUACCUGUAAAUCGGAUGAGAAGGUGGGCUACGUUCACUGGUACCAACACAAGGACCACGAGCCCCCGCGGAGAAUUCUUUACAUCACUACGAGCUCCGGCUCGGUGGCUCACGAUGACAGCGGCGAGAGAGAGAAGUUCAGCGCCGACGGGACGAGCUACACGUUAGCACUGAAGAGCGUCGAACAAAGCGACGAAGCCACGUAUUACUGCGCCGCCUGGACCAGCCACAGUGACACGGGGCGCGCGACCCCCCGCACAAGAACAGACCCCUCGAACGGCCUGUGUCACUUGGCGCGUCAGACACGAGGGGGAGGGAGGGGAGGAGACGAUCGGGGGCUCGACACCCCUUUAAAGGGAUACACGGUGGUCCACAGAGAAUCCGAAACAAGCAAAGCCCUCAAAGCAGAGCUGCUCCUCAUCUAA